GUUUUACUUCUGCGCACAUCCCUCCAGCUUGAGUAAACAGCAGAGGAUGUGACUGAGAGCACAUACGGUACCUCAUCAACGCCUCUUCUCCGCUUCAGGUUCUCUUCUGCCUUCCCCAGAGGUGAAGCCAAAGGCCAUGCAGAAGCUUCAGCAUCUUCCAGUCCUCAGCAGUCCGCACUCUAGACAAGGGAGAAGAUGAACCACAAAGUGUUUUCCUGGUGAGAUCAUCCUAGCUACAGUGAUGCAGGGCUUUGUAUAGACAAGCAGAGGAAUGGGUAAAUAGAGAAGACUUCUCCUCUCCUGCGUCAGUGAAGAGAAAAACGUCUGUCUGAUGAUUUGAAGUGAAGCUGGCAUGUUUUGGCCCGAUCUGCGGAAGACAUUCAAGUUUCACUUCGCUGUGAGAACUUUGCCUGUGGUCCAAGUUUGCCGUCAUUUACAACAUCAUGUAAUUUUUGAUGCAAAGCUUUUGCUCACAUGUGCUGAAGCGCAGAAAAAUUUAAUUUGAUUUUUCUUCUGCAACUGCAGCCCUGGCUGCGGAAAUGGAGAGUGUGAGAACUGGGGGAGUCCAGGACUUUGGUUUUGACAUUGCAUGUGCCUGGCUGUGGACCAGAAAGGAGACACUCUCACUUUUCCUGUCUCAACCCCUUGUAUAUGGCAACACAUUGCAGCCUGCAGAGAGGAGGAAGCUGCUGGUUUAGGUUUCCUUCCAGGUGCGUCCUUUUGCAGCAUGACGCAUUUUGUGUUCAUC